rnacentral:rRNA from 1 species
AUGGAAUUUGAGAGGGACAGCGUGCGAGGCAGUUUUAUGGAACUACUAAACAUGGUUGAGCAGCCAAUGUCAAAUAUCAAUCAACAGACCACUGUAAACUCAGUACCUGAAGAAAGUUCAUGCUAUUCUGAUAGACCUUAUUGCUCAGAAGACAAUGAUGUACUUUCGAGACCUAACUUAAGGGUUGACACUUGUGAUUAUGUCGAUGACUCAAAUGAAGUAGAGUCACGUCUAGAAUGUAUCAAAGACCCGUUCGAACUUCCAGAUAAGAUGUCUAGGCCUGAAAAUCUAGAUGAGCACUACCUGGACAUAGGAGUGAUCCAAAUCCCAAUUCUUCUAUCCAUUUAA